rnacentral:rRNA from 1 species
AUUGAACGCUGGCGGCAGGCCUAACACAUGCAAGUCGAGCGAGCGGCGGACGGGUGAGUAAUGUAUGGGGACUGCCCGAUAGAGGGGGAUAACUACUGGAAACGGUAGCUAAUACCGCAUACUAUCGGAUAACCCAUAUGGGAUUAGCUAGUAGGUGAGGUAAUGGCUGACCUAGGCGACGAGCCCUAGCUGGUCUGAGAGGAGGAGCAGCCAGACGGGGACUGAGACACGGCCCAGACUCCGAGGGAGGCAGCAGUGGGGAAUAUUGCACAAUGGGCGCAAGCCUGAUGCAGCCAUGCCGCGUGUAUGAAGAAGGCCCUAGGGUUGUAAGGUACUUUCAGUCGGUAGGCGUUACCGACAGAAGAAGCACCGGCUAACUCCGUGCCAGCCGCCGCGGUAAUUC